GAGUAUGAUCCUGGCUCAGAUUNANCGCNGGCGGCAUGCCUUACACAUGCAAGUCGAACGGCAGCGCGGGAGCAAUCCNGGCGGNGAGUGGCGAACGGGUGAUUAAUAUAUCGGAACGUGCCCAGUACUGGGGGAUAGCCCGGCGAAAGCCGGAUUAAUACCGCAUACGACCUGAGGGUGAAAGCGGGGGAUCGCAAGACCUCGCGCUAUUGGAGCGGCCGNUAUCAGAUUAGCUAGUUGGUGGGGUAAAGGCCUACCAAGGCAACGAUCUGUAGUUGGUCUNGGAGGACGACCAUCCACACUGGGANUGAGACACGGCCCAGACUCCUACGGGAGGCAGCAGUGGGGAAUUUUGGACAAUGGGCGCAAGCCUCAUCCACCAAUGCCGCGUGCAGGAAGAAGGCCUCCGGGUUGUAAACUGCUUUUNUCAGGGAAGAAAUCUUCUGGGCUAAUACCCNGCGAGGAUGACGGUACCUGAAGAAUAA
rnacentral:rRNA from 1 species